UGAAUAUGCUAACUAAGGAGAUGGCUGAUUGAGAAGACGGAAAGAAGCAGCCUGCGGGGCCCCGCCUCCUGCGCCCGACUCCCUGAAUUCAGAAGGGGAACUUUGCCAGUGCAUAUUUUGGUGAGUCUUCCUGUGACAACAGAGGGGAGGACUACGGGACCUAGUCAUGAAAAAUCCUAUUCUUCACUGCAGAGUUUUAGCUCCCAGGGCCAUCAAAUAUGAUCGUUUGUUUAUGUGAUUCAAGGAUUUCGCUUGAAGAAUGUGAAAAACCGGCACACAAAUGAACCAAAAAAAAAAAA